rnacentral:tRNA from 1 species
GGUUCCGUAGGGGAGCGGCAACCCGCCACCCUGACAUGGUGGAGAGCGCUGGUUCGAAUCCAGCCGGGAUCA